AUGGACCCGAAGUUGAGGAUUGAUAUGAUUUGGAGCUGUCGGUAUUAUAUUAAAUCGCUUAUACUGCUGAUGAAUUUACAUCGGAAACGAAAUGUGGUGUUUUCCUCUGAAGUAGCUAAUAGUCGGCACCAGUCUGGACAUCAUUGCAGGAGAAAGAUUCACUUCUCACGGAGAUGACUACUGCAGUUGCCCCAGCCUGUGUGAGGUCCCUGCGAGGGUCACUCUCCUGACAUCUUGCAGUAGGUGAGGACAAGGACAUAGCAUAUACCAUUUAAAUACGGAUAGUUUAACCUUGCCUAACAUUUCACCUUGGAUACUGUUGUUUUUUCAUAGCUCCCUUUUCAGAGCUAAUAUAGUAGCUUUAUGGGUGUGGAAGCAUGAUUUUUAUCUUGGCAUUGGUUUGAGGAUAAUCAGGUCAUCUGUAGAAAGCAGCCUGAACUCUGACUCCACUCAUUUAAAACCAAUGAUCUCCCCAGACUAUCUGCUUUGACUGUGUACUCCAGCAACUGAUGUUGAUUUAUAUGAAAAUCAUUUAUACUUUUUUUUUUUUUUUGUAAUUUUUGCCCAUUGUUUGCUGCAUUAAACAAGUUACUCUGCUGUAGUCAUGGUAAUUGUACAUUCUGGACUUGCUUCAGAUGCAUCUGUGCCUCAUGGGAGUCAGUCACAUGACAGCUAUACAGAGAUUUUUUUUUAUGUCAUCAAAUUGUGUCCUCUGUGCCUAUAUCUGAUGCAGGGGUCAUGAACUUUAGGUUCAGUAAUAGCAGAAAAUAGGUCUAGAUGAAGAGAGAGCCUUCUGGAGGAUUGCAUGGAUAGUACAAGCACAAAGAGAAACUGCUGACAACUAAGCUUUCCUAACUGUCAGGUACUUAUUCUCAGCUGAUGCAAUAAUAAUUUGCACAGAACAAUAAGCUGUAUUGCUGUAUAUAAUAUUCUUUUUUUCUAAUGACUCAUUAUCCUAGGAUGAUGAGGAGAUGAGUAGAAUAUAAGUGUAUUAAAAACAUAAUUGCUUUUCUAUUCAAACAAAAGCAUGCAGUGUAUACGUUGUGACAAAUGCCUAAUGAAUAGGAGUGGAGCUUUUUUGUUCUGUUUCAGUUUAUGGCAAUGCCUGCCAUAAAUGCCUAUUUAAAAUCUUAAUUGCUUUUAAUUUUAACAGUUACCUGAUAGUCGCUUCUGGUUG
rnacentral:lncRNA from 1 species